CGCAGCCGCGGGAAUACGUAGGGGGCAAGCGUUGUCCGGAAUUAUUGGGCGUAAAGCGCGUGUAGGCGGCUCGAUAAGUCUGCUGUGAAAGUCCAGGGCUCAACCCUGGAAUGCCGGUGGAUACUGUCGAGCUAGAGUCCGGAAGAGGCGAGUGGAAUUCCUGGUGUAGCGGUGAAAUGCGCAGAUAUCAGGAGGAACACCAAUGGCGAAGGCAGCUCGCUGGGACGGUACUGACGCUGAGACGCGAAAGCGUGGGGAGCAAACAGGAUUAGAUACCCCUGUAGUCCCUGUCUCUUAUACA
rnacentral:rRNA from 1 species